UUGUAAGUUUAUCGUUCUUUCUCGCGUUAAUUCGUGUCUGGUUAGCCAGGGAGAGAUAAAAGUUUUCGAACUAAAUCAAUUGUUGUGAACGGGGUUUCCCAUUGAUAACAAAAAACAUGGCGGCUAUUUGUUAGUAGGUCCCGCUUCAAGAUUUCAAAAUCAUCAAACGUUCCAGAAAUGCAAUAACUGUAAAAACUUUCAACGCUGUUUUGUUCAUAUGAAUGGGAACAAACACAUGUGUAUGCAUUUUUGAAUAUAAAAGUUUUGUGGCGGUACUUGGCAAGCAAUUUUCUCACACUUUACUGUGGCUAUUGGUGCUGAUCUUGAACUAAAGGUAAAUGGAACAGCAUGGAUGUGGAUUUUUAGACACAAGGAAGCUGAAUUUAACUUUUAAUGAAUAAUUUAAAU